rnacentral:misc_RNA from 1 species
GGUUGUAGAAUCUUCAAGAAUAUACAGUUCAGAUGGUUCUAAACGGUCGAUCUUUAAAACCCUCCAAAAGGUUCUGUUCUUGUCUCUUCCUAUAAUAUAAAAAUUCUGUUGCAUAGGAAAUGAAAUGAAUAGUGGAUCAAAAUUGUGUCAUAAUAUAUGACUCUAUAAUUCCAUAAUCAACGGAAAUUAGUCAUUUUAUACAAAUAAAAACAAAAAAUAUAAUCUAUUUGGUGAAUCAAAUGCAAAGA